rnacentral:rRNA from 1 species
UACGUAGGGCGCAAGCGUUGUCCGGAAUUAUUGGGCGUAAAGAGCUCGUAGGCGGCUUGUCACGUCGGGUGUGAAAGCCCGGGGCUUAACCCCGGGUCUGCAUUCGAUACGGGCUAGCUAGAGUGUGGUAGGGGAGAACGGAAUUCCUGGUGUAGCGGUGAAAUGCGCAGAUAUCAGGAGGAACACCGGUGGCGAAGGCGGUUCUCUGGGCAUGUCCUGACGCUGAGGAGCGAAAGUGUGGGGAGCGAACAGG